rnacentral:rRNA from 1 species
AUUGAACGCUGGCGGCAGGCCUAACACAUGCAAGUCGAGCGGAUGAAGGGAGCUUGCUCCUGGAUUCAGCGGCGGACGGGUGAGUAAUGCCUAGGAAUCUGCCUGGUAGUGGGGGAUAACGUCCGGAAACGGGCGCUAAUACCGCAUACGUCCUGAGGGAGAAAGUGGGGGAUCUUCGGACCUCACGCUAUCAGAUGAGCCUAGGUCGGAUUAGCUAGUUGGUGGGGUAAAGGCCUACCAAGGCGACGAUCCGUAACUGGUCUGAGAGGAUGAUCAGUCACACUGGAACUGAGACACGGUCCAGACUCCUACGGGAGGCAGCAGUGGGGAAUAUUGGGCAAAGGGCGAAAGCCUGAUCCAGCCAUGCCGCGUGUGUGAAGAAGGUCUUCGGAUUGUAAAGCACUUUAAGUUGGGAGGAAGGGCAGUAAGUUAAUACCUUGCUGUUUUGACGUUACCAACAGAAUAAGCACCGGCUAACUUCGUG